GAUGAACGCUGGCGGCGUGCUUAACACAUGCAAGUCGAACGAGAAGUGAAGACGGAAACCUUCGGGCGGAAGGCUUUAUUUCGAGUGGCGGACGGGUGAGUAACGCGUGGGUAACCUGCCUCAUACAGGGGGAUAACAGUUGGAAACGACUGUUAAUACCGCAUAAGACCACAGCACCGCAUGGUGCGGGGGUAAAAACUCCGGUGGUAUGAGAUGGACCCGCGUUCGAUUAGCCAGUUGGCGGGGUAACGGCCCACCAAAGCGACGAUCGAUAGCCGAUCUGAGAGGAUGACCGGCCACCUUGGGACUGAGACACGGCCCGAACUCCUACGGGAGGCAGCAGUGGGGAAUAUUGCACAAUGGGGGAAACCCUGAUGCAGCGACGCCGCGUGAGUGAAGAAGUAUUUCGGUAUGUAAAGCUCUAUCAGCAGGGAAGAAAAUGACGGUACCUGAGUAAGAAGCCCCGGCUAACUACGUG
rnacentral:rRNA from 1 species